rnacentral:miRNA from 2 species
CAGAUUCGGUUUUAGGGGAGUA